rnacentral:rRNA from 1 species
UGGGGAAUUUUGGACAAUGGGCGCAAGCCUGAUCCAGCCAUGCCGCGUGCAGGAUGAAGGCCUUCGGGUUGUAAACUGCUUUUGUACGGAACGAAAAGGUGCCUUCUAAUAAAGGGCGCUCAUGACGGUACCGUAAGAAUAAGCACCGGCUAACUACGUGCCAGCAGCCGCGGUAAUACGUAGGGUGCGAGCGUUAAUCGGAAUUACUGGGCGUAAAGCGUGCGCAGGCGGUUUUGUAAGACAGAGGUGAAAUCCCCGGGCUCAACCUGGGAACUGCCUUUGUGACUGCAAGGCUGGAGUGCGGCAGAGGGGGAUGGAAUUCCGCGUGUAGCAGUGAAAUGCGUAGAUAUGCGGAGGAACACCGAUGGCGAAGGCAAUCCCCUGAGCCUGCACUGACGCUCAUGCACGAAAGCGUGGGGAGCAAACA